CAGACCUUGCCAGGAGGACGGGGUUGUGGGGGUGGAGGGGGAAGGGACUGAGCAUCGCACAGAGAAGAAAGGGAAGGAAAAGGGGGAGGGGGAGAAGAACUCACCUCUGCACACUGCCUCACUUAGACGCUCCAGAACAAUGAAAGAAAAGGAGAACAGGGGUGGCCCUUUGAAGAACAGAAAAUGGGAUCUUUCGUUUUCCCUGCCUCAUCAGAGCAUUUGAAGGCACAGAAUGUCAGCCUCGUUUCCCAGAGAAGCUGGAGCAGGAUGCGGCGCCCAGCUGAGAGCCUGCAAGCUGGAGGACCUGGCCGCGGUGGAGGGCCCAACUGGUGCAUUUCGACUGCUAGAUCAGCGGCACCCGCAUGCCCAUUGUCACCUGGACUCACUUUGGUAGCCUUGUGAGAUUUCCUGCACCAAGCCACGCGAGUUCCAAGCCACCCAAUUUCUCCCGGCCGCAUUCGUGGUCGGAUAAUGGCGACUCGGCUCACUCGUGUCUGGAGGGGGGUUUUAUUAAAUCUCUCCGUUCAUAUGCUCCUGCUCGGUACGAUCUAAUAAAGCGCAAUCGAUGGUGCAUUUCAAGCA